AUGAAGUCACAGAUCCAUGUCUUCAUGUCCCUGCUCCUCUGGAUGUCUGGUGCCUGUGGAGAUAUUGUGAUGACUCAGUCUCCAUCUUCCCUGGCUUUGUCAGCAGGAGAGAAAGUCACCAUCAGUUGCAGGUCCAGUCAGAGUCUCUAUCACAGUGGAAUCAGUAAGAACCUCUUGGCCUGGUACCAGCAGAAACCAGGGCAGUCUCCUAAACUGCUGAUCUACUAUGCAUCUACUCGGUUCACUGGGGUACCUGAUCACUUCAUUGGCACUGGAUCUGGGACAGAUUACUCUCUUACCAUCAGCAGUGUAGAGGCUGAAGACAUGGGACAUUAUUUCUGUCAGCAGGGUUUAAACAAUCCUCCCACAGUGCUUCGGUCUCCAACAAAAACCUCCUCUAUGUGUCUCACCAGGUGUCUGUACCUCGACCUAACACUUCCCUCUUCUGCCUGA